rnacentral:lncRNA from 1 species
CAAAAGGAAUUUGGAAACCUCAUUGUCAAACCCACAAAUAUCUUCCUCUCAGAAGAUAAGUUGUGGUCCGUUCUAUAGAAACUGUGUCAAGGAAAUUCCUUCCUUCCCCCUCCUGAGUGACUUGACCUGUCCAUCAAACGUUCCUGACAUAACACAGUUGCUCCAGGUUUCCAUCCCUCUACAUGCUGUACGUCAAUAAAAGUCAAGGCUUUGGGCUUGUGAGAGGAGAACCAAGAAGAGAAGGAAGAAGGAAGAAGUCGGGAUCAGAGCAGGCAGAAAAUUUUCUGAUGCUGAGAGGCAACUGGGUGGAACAUUGGGUAGAGAUCAGAUCUGGAGUCAAGAAGACCUGCGUUCAAAUCCAGCUUCAGGCACCAGCUGUUAUUUUCUCCUUGACGUGGGAGCUCUGGAAUCGGGCUUUAAUAUUCCUGAGAGUUUUCAUUUUGGGAUCUCUUUCAGGAGGUAAUUUUUUCUAUUUCUACUUUACUCUCUGAUUCUAGGAUAUCAGUAUAGUUUUCGUUAACAAAUUCUUGAAAGG